AGCUUGUGAAAACUAGAAAGUGGCUCCAAUUACUUCCUGUCAUAACCCCAGAGCCUGAGAAGGUGGACUUACUGAGGCUAGCUGGGGUGGACAAAGAAAGUCUGUUCCAAGAGGUUG